AUUAAGUAUGAGUUACUCACUGGAUAUGUAGGACCUGGAGGUAAAUAGUGGCGCGCCUUUUGCUGCGCACAAUCUUGCCUAUUCAUGUGCAGAUGGCCAUCGGUGUACAGAAUAGUGUGAUGCCAUGUCAGGUGCUUCCCCGGUGUGUGUUUGUCCACCACGUGCUUCUUCUCCUCUGACCUGCAGGACCGUGCAGGAUAAAUAUACAGAAAGAUUAUGAAGUCACACAAAACAAUAAAUAGAAACGCAGUGUGCUUUUUGUACCUCUCCUUGCGAUUUUAUCAGCCUUAAGGAGUGUUCCAUCCAAGCAUGAAGG
rnacentral:lncRNA from 1 species